rnacentral:rRNA from 1 species
UACGGAGGGUGCAAGCGUUGUCCGGAUUUAUUGGGUUUAAAGGGUGCGUAGGCGGCUUUUUAAGUCAGUGGUGAAAUACAGCAGCUCAACUGUUGAGGUGCCAUUGAUACUGAGAGGCUUGAGUACAGAUGAGGUAGGCGGAAUUUAUGGUGUAGCGGUGAAAUGCAUAGAUACCAUAAAGAACACCGAUUGCGAAGGCAGCUUACUAAGCUGUAACUGACGCUGAGGCACGAAAGCGUGGGGGAGCGAACAGG